rnacentral:sRNA from 1 species
AAUCUUCGCUCACAUCCCUCAGAUUAUAAUCGCACCCUUCACAGUCUCAUAGCGAAUGAAUCAACAUGCCUUGCUCUGUAACCGCUCCUCAUAUUUAUAGAUGCCUCUGAUACUUGCUUAUUUCACAAGCUUCCCUCUGUUUCCUCACGUGCCUUGCACACACACUCUUAUCAUGCAUUCGCAGUCAUUAAACAGUGUCAUAGUUAUUCUUUAUGGUUACAAGUGUGGGGUUGGUGACUGAUGAAGACAACUGAUCUUAUUCAUCUACUUCUUGGAGCUGGAGUUGGAGAAAUUCGAGAAGAAUGAACAAAUUACGACAAGGUACAUUGAGAAAAUCUCCGGUGAAGCAUAAAAGCACAACUUAUACGUAAUAUUUCUAUAUUUGCUUUUGGAGACAGAACAUGUGUCAGUAAUCGUUGGUUUAGACUUCUAGGUCUGGUUUGGGGUUUGGUACAGAUGGUUUUAUGGCUGCAAAUGUCUUAUGUUGUUGAACGCCCACAAGAUGCUCGAUGAAAUGCCGAAGAGAGUGGCUUGUUUGUAAAAUUGCAGUUUUUUGGUGGUAUAUGGAUGAGAAGCAGAUGAUAGUGAGUAGAGUUUUGUUACUUGGGGGUAGAAAAUUCUCUUCGCCAUGAGAUAGACUAUUAGAGUUAAGCGGGUAAAAACCCGGACUCGUUUUGUGAGACAAAAGAACCUGAAAAAGUUCUCACUUUGACUAUUCUUGCUUCUAUCAAGCCAUUGCAAUUGUUCUUGGAAAAGUGAAACACACACUCUCGUUGUCUCAUCUUGCUGUGAAUUAUCAUUCUUAUCUGCUGAGUUCAAGACUGGAUUAAGCAUGAUUCUUGAAGAUAGGAGUGUGACUGAGAUAAUAUGCAUUCACUGGAAACCAUGGUCUACUUUUCAAAGGUAAUGUCUCUGUUCUUUCAAUUUGAGACAGAACAAAAGGAAAGAAGUAGAUAUUAAGUUAAGUGUGGUAGCUUGAGAAAUGGGAACAAAUGGUUAGAUUUGUAGGACUGGAAAUCUUUAUGCUAGAAAGAAAUAGGGGUAGUAUUGGACAUAACUCUCAAAAGGAAAGGAGAAGGGACAUUGUGUUUGAUUCAAAGCUAAGACAAGGCUGCAUUUGUGUCACUCAAAGGAGAAUAGGAAUUACCUCUGACAGAGUUUGAAAGAAAAACUCUACAAGUAUCAGAAUGUUUAAGAUCGUUCCUGGAGUACAUUCAGUCAUUCAGAUGAAAAGACGGAGAAACGGAGCUGUGGCGGGAAUGUAACUAGUAAAGUACUUUCUUGAGGAUUCGGCAGUGCUCAAGAAGUUUAUGCUGCGUUUGGGUUGUGAGAGAAUGAACAAAGAGUCUAUCAUUUUAAUGGAACUAUUGAGGUUAAGGAGAUAUACUAUGCUUAUUGUAUAGUCAUUGUUGAACUUGCUGAGACUGAUAAUGAUACAUAGGUGUUUCUACACUUAAAUGUGCAAUUUCCAUUUAGGAAAGUUUAGUAUUGGGAUUUGAUGUAUAUAUUCUUACCAGAACCAGUUCUCCAACUUAGGAAAUUUAUUUGUAAUAAUCUGAGUGACGCUCAGUAUUCUUCCAAGGACAAUUUGACAACUACUUGCUAUGGAUUCCUCCUUUAGGUUCCUCAAAAGUUCAUGUUCUCCAUGUAAUGAAAUCAAAACUUGCUUUUUCUCUGACAUUUUUGAUUGUUUUGGUUCUAAAUUUGAUCAAACUGACUGCAUCGAGCAUUUCGGAGGAAUAGUACACAAAACAUUAGCAGGAAUAGAUCAUUUC